rnacentral:RNase_P_RNA from 1 species
AGAGUGGGCUGGAUGAUCGCGGGUGCAGAGGUAUUUUAUACCAAAACACUGGAGGAAAGUCCGGGCUCCAUAAAGCAAGAUGCCGGGUAACACCCGGCGGGGGUAACCCUAGGGAUAGUGCCACAGAAAGCAAACCGCCGGACUAGUUUUUCAACUAUCGGUAAGGGUGAAAGGGUGCGGUAAGAGCGCACCGCGUUUUUCAGGUAACUGAAACGGCAUGGUAAACCCCGUCUGGAGCAAGACCAAAUAGGGGAACGUUUAUGACGGCUCGUCCAGUUCCCGGGUAGGUCGCAAGAGGUGCUUGGCAACAAGUAUCCCAGAUGAAUGAUCAUCACCUAGCUAGCAAUAGCUAGGACACAGAACCCGGCUUACAGGCCCACUCUUUUU